rnacentral:rRNA from 1 species
GACGAACGCUGGCGGCGUGCCUAAUACAUGCAAGUCGAACGCAGUGGGGACGGGUGAGUAACACGUGGCUAACCUCCCAUCAGAGGGGAUAACACGUGGCAACAGGUGCUAAACCGAUACUGAUGUAUCGACCUGCUGGGCAUUAGCUAGUUGGUGAGGUAACGGCGUACCAAGGCCACGAUGCAUAGCCGGACUGAGAGGAUGAGCAGCCACACUGGGACUGAGACACGGCCAAGACGCCGACGGGAGGCAGGAGUGGGGAAUCUUCGGCAAUGGGCGAAAGUCUGACAGAGCCACGCCGCGUGAGUGAAGAAGGUUUUCGGAUCGUAAAGCUCUGUUGUUAGGGAAGCGGUAUCUGACGAGGAAGCCACGGCUAACUACGUGCCAGCAGCCGCGGUAAUUC